AGCCCCGCCCGCAGCGCCGGGGCGAGAAGGCAGCGGCGGAGCCUAGCCGGGCGCGGGACGGUGGCUCGGGGGAACCGCAGCUGGCCCGGCACGUCCGGGAGGAAGGGCCGUGGGAGGCGGGCCCGGGACGCCUGUUGCCCUGCUCCUCCUCUUGGGCUUCCUGCUUACCUGCCUACUUACUCUCCUCCUGCUCGCACUCUUCUUCCAGGCUUCGUGCUUGCUAACUUAUCUAUCUAUCUAUCUAUCUAUCUAUCUAUCUAUCUAUCUAUCUAUCUAUCUAUCUAUCUAUCUAUCUAUCUACCUACCUGCCCUCCUCCUUCUGCCUGUCCUCCUCCUCUCUUCCUGCCUUCUCACUGCCCGCCAUUCUCCUGUCGCCUUCCUGCCUUUUCUCCUGCCUGCCCUCCUUCUCCCUUGCUGCCCCUUUACUGCUCCCUUCCUCCUGCCUGCCCUUUUUCUGCCUUCCUCCCGCCCUCCUCCUUCUGCCUGCCAAGCGGGGCUGCGAGGGUAUUCCCACUUCUCCAACCUCUCGCCGGCCCCAAGGGCUCUUACUGAGCAUCAGACACAAAGGCUCCGAAACGUUCCUGUUCCGAGUUCCGUGCCAAACAGUUCCUUGUUGCUCCUGUUAGAAACCGCCCAAUACUGCAGCCCGAUACGGCGGCCUGAUACGGCGGCCCGAUACGGCGGCCCGGCACGGCAGCCCGGCACGGUGGCCAGGGUUCGAGACCUCCCGGCACGGCGAUCGCAGUCGGAGGCUUCCCGGCACGGCAAUAUGGCGACCAGAGACUUCCCGAAGCGACGGCCGGGAGUAAAGACUUCCCAAGAUGGCGAUCGGGGCUUAUGCAAAUCAGCUACCGAAAAACACUGCUUCAGCCAAAAAACUCGAUCUGUGGAGCAUCAGAACACUAAAUAAAGAAACUGAGGGCGAUGCCGUAAGGUCGGGAUCAAGGGACACUACCCACCAACUCUGCUUGCCUCGCCAUGACCGGGAGAGACUCGCUAGGGAUGACACCCCUGGACUUUCGAGCUGAAGGGGACUCCAGGUUUACCCGCGAGGACGGAGGUCCCGGCUUUGCCUCCACUGCACCCCGCAGGAAAGGCCGUAUUCCUCCUCCUUUGAGUUGCUUCAGGGAGCAUCAGCGGUGUGCGUGCAACCCGUCGGGCCCCCACCCAAAGCUGAUUCCUAAUAAAGGCUUUAAAACAGGAGAAGAAGGUCUCCUG
ensembl:lncRNA